CACUAUGGAUAGCGUAGGUUGCCUUGC
rnacentral:sRNA from 1 species